CUUUCUGCCCGUGGACGCCGCCGAAGAAGCAUCGUUAAAGUCUCUCUUCUCCCUGCCGUCAUGUCUAAGUCAGAGUCUCCUAAAGAGCCCGAACAGCUGAGGAAGCUCUUCAUUGGAGGGUUGAGCUUUGAAACAACCGAUGAGAGCCUGAGGAGCCAUUUUGAGCAAUGGGGAACGCUCACGGACUGUGUGGUAAUGAGAGAUCCAAACACCAAGCGUUCCAGGGGCUUUGGGUUUGUCACAUAUGCCACUGUGGAGGAGGUGGAUGCAGCUAUGAAUGCAAGGCCACACAAGGUGGACGGAAGAGUUGUGGAACCAAAGAGAGCUGUCUCAAGAGAAGAUUCUCAAAGACCAGGUGCCCACUUAACUGUGGAAAAGAUAUUUGUUGGUGGCAUUAAAGAAGACACUGAAGAACAUCACCUAAGAGAUUAUUUUGAACAGUAUGGGAAAAUUGAAGUGAUUGAAAUCAUGACCGACCGAGGCAGUGGCAAGAAAAGGGGCUUUGCCUUUGUAACCUUUGAUGACCAUGACUCCGUGGAUAAGAUUGUCAUUCAGAAAUACCAUACUGUGAAUGGCCACAACUGUGAAGUUAGGAAAGCCCUGUCAAAGCAAGAGAUGGCUAGUGCUUCAUCCAGCCAAAGAGGUCGAAGUGGUUCUGGAAACUUUGGUGGUGGUCGUGGAGGUGGUUUCGGUGGGAAUGACAACUUCGGUCGUGGAGGAAACUUCAGUGGUCGUGGUGGCUUUGGUGGCAGCCGUGGUGGUGGUGGAUAUGGUGGCAGUGGGGAUGGCUAUAAUGGAUUUGGUAAUGAUGGAAGCAAUUUUGGAGGUGGUGGAAGCUACAAUGAUUUUGGCAAUUACAACAAUCAGUCUUCAAAUUUUGGACCCAUGAAGGGAGGAAAUUUUGGAGGCAGAAGCUCUGGCCCCUAUGGCGGUGGAGGCCAAUACUUUGCAAAACCACGAAACCAAGGUGGCUAUGGCGGUUCCAGCAGCAGCAGUAGCUAUGGCAGUGGCAGAAGAUUUUAAUUAGGAAACAAAGCUUAGCAGGAGAGGAGAGCCAGAGAAGUGACAGGGAAGCUACAGGUUACAACAGAUUUGUGAACUCAGCCAAGCACAGUGGUGGCAGGGCCUAGCUGCUACAAAGAAGACAUGUUUUAGACAAAUACUCAUGUGUAUGGGCAAAAAACUCGAGGACUGUAUUUGUGACUAAUUGUAUAACAGGUUAUUUUAGUUUCUGUUCUGUGGAAAGUGUAAAGCAUUCCAACAAAGGGUUUUAAUGUAGAUUUUUUUUUUUGCACCCAUGCUGUUGAUUGCUAAAUGUAAUAGUCUGAUCGUGACGCUGAAUAAAUGUCUUUUUUUUUAAAAAAAAAAAAA